GAUGAAGAACGUAGCGAAAUGCGAUACUUGGUGUGAAUUGCAGAAUCCCGUGAACCAUCGAGUCUUUGAACGCAAGUUGCGCCCGAAGCCAUUAGGCCGAGGGCACGCCUGCCUGGGCGUCACACGUCGUUGCCCCCCCAUCUACUCCUUCGGGAUUGCGGGGGGCGGAUGAUGGCCUCCCGUGCGCCUCGCCGCGCGGUUGGCAUAAAUGCCAAGUCCUCGGCGACGCACGCCACGACAAUCGGUGGUUGCGAAACCUCGGUUGCCCGUCGUGUGCGGUCGUCGCGCAUCGAGGGCUCGAAAAAAUUGCCGGGUUCCGGCUCGGCUUUCAACGCGACCCCAGGUCAGGCGGGGUUACCCGCUGAAUUUAAGUAUAUCAAUAAGCGGAGGA
rnacentral:misc_RNA from 1 species